UACGAAGGGGGCUAGCGUUGUUCGGAAUUACUGGGCGUAAAGCGCGCGCAGGCGGCUAUCCAAGUCAGUGGUGAAAGCCCGGAGCUCAACUCCGGAACUGCCAUUGAAACUGUUUAGCUUGAGGAUGAGAGAGGUGAGUGGAAUUCCUAGUGUAGAGGUGAAAUUCGUAGAUAUUGGGAAGAACACCGGUGGCGAAGGCGGCUCACUGGCUCAUUACUGACGCUCAGGCGCGAUAGCGUGGGGAUCAAACAGG
rnacentral:rRNA from 1 species